rnacentral:tRNA from 1 species
ACGUUAGUAGUUCUGUGGUAGAAUUCUUGUCUUCCAUGUGGGAGACCCGGAUUCAAUUCCUGGCUGAUGCA